AGUGAUGACGGCCUUCGGGUGUAAAGCUCUGUCGCCUGGGAAAAAAGGCGCCCUGAUUAACAUGCAGGGCGAGUGAUGGUACCAGGAAGGAAGAGGCGGCUAACUCUGUGCCAGCAGCCGCGGUAAUACAGAGGCCUCAAGCGUUGUUCGGAAUUACUGGGCGUAAAGGGAGUGUAGGUGGUGAUGCAAGUCAGAUGUGAAAGCCCUGGGCUUAACCCGGGAAUUGCAUUUGAUACUGCGUUGCUAGAGUGCAGGAGAGGUGAGAGGAAUUCCUGGUGUAGGGGUGAAAUCCGUAGAUAUCAGGAGGAAUACCAAUGGCGUAGGCAUCUCGCUGGCCUGUAACUGACACUGAGACUCGAAAGCAUGGGUAGCAAAUAGGAUUAGAUACCCUGGUAGUCCAUGCUGUAAACGAUGGGUGCUUGUUGUUAGUAGUGUAAACCCUACUAGUAACGAAGCUAACGCGUUAAGCACCCCGCCUGGGGAGUACGGUCGCAAGAUUAAAACUCAAAGAAAUUGACGGGGA
rnacentral:rRNA from 1 species